rnacentral:rRNA from 1 species
UGGUGGAGUGAUUUGUCUGGUCAAUUUCGGUAACGAGCGAGAUCCCUAUGCGAUAGUUGCUCUUUGCAAAUCUGUUUGUGAAAGAGUUCCUAUCCAGACCGUCGACGCAAGUCGAAGGAAGUUGGGGGCUAAAUCA